UCCCCUGUGGCACAACUGGUUAGCGCGUAAGUAAUUUGAACUUCUAAUGCAUAACUUUCCACUAAAUCACACCUAUAGGUCAGACUGUUAGUAAAUGAGCAAUCUGGAGGUUGAUAGUUCGAUCCUAUCCGGGGGAG